UAAACCCGACCCGCAUGCCGUUUCCGUUUCCGGCCACUCCACCGGCCAAGGUUGGUACCGAUCGGAAGCUCGUGCGAUGCCGGUCAUCUCCAUGCCAUCCUUGUCACCGGAAAGUGUUCGAAAAGCUACCGAUCGAAGCCGUGAAAAGCCGCUUCAAUUCGCCACGAUUUUGCCGGUUUCCGGUGACGCCACCACCUGGGUUUUGUUCCCCACAAUUCCCUCUGUCUUUUACGACCAGCCACAGCCACCGGAGGAGUUGAUUUGCAGUUGAUCG
rnacentral:lncRNA from 1 species